UGAGAAGUAACAGAAAUUAUGACACAGGAUCCUGUAGCCUGCAUCGAACAUCAAAGAUAAAUGACGAAUUCAGACGGAUCUCUACAUUCAUUCAUUGCACAACUGGACCAGUUGCCAUUGCUUUAAAAAUAAACAAUGCUUUCAGAAAA